UCAGAUCUCAUUACAGAUGGUUGUGAGCCACCAUGUGGUUGCUGGGAUUUGAACUCAGGACCUCAGGAAGAGCAGUCGGUGCUCUUAACCACUGAGCCAUCUCUCCAGCCCAUGUUCAAGCUUUCUUAACCACUAUGCCAUCUUCACCCCAAAGGAGUGCUCUUAAAAUGCUGGCUCUCCAUUUGAGGUUGUUGUAGAUACUUUGUUUUAGCACACUCCUUACUGCCCUUAAUUAUACAGAGGAAUUUGACCUUUGCCUUGAUUAAGGUCCUAGUCUCAUAAAAAUAAAUUUUACCUAGUGUUUUUAUAAAACUUGAAUUCAUUAAAUAAAAGUCAUUAUAGAUUGAGCUACUGAAAAUGAAAAUUAUCUAUGAUCCUUAGAAAAGUUUAACAAUUCUUCUAAUUAUCAUAAUUGAAGUUUUUUGCCUUGAAACAGUGUUUUCAGAAUCUAACACAUAGACAAUAAUGUAUCUUCCCUAUUGUGAAUACUUCUGUGUUGAUUCCUUACUUACAGAUUUGGAAAUAGUGGGCUUUAUUGACAUAGCUGAUAUUUCCAGCCCUCCAGUUUUGUCCAGGCAUUUGGUCUUGCCCAUAGCACUCAACAAAGAAGGUGACGAGGUGGGUGCUGGCAUCACUGAUGACAAUGAAGAUGAGAAUUCAGCCAAUCAGAUUGCUGGCAAAAUACCCAACUUCUGUGUCCUGCUCCAUGGCAGCCUAAAGGUGGAAGGAAUGGUGGCACUUGU
rnacentral:lncRNA from 1 species